CCCGGGGAGACAGAGGGCAGGAGAAAAAGGCCGGCCCCGCUCACAAUGGAGCCCCUGUGGCGGCCCCUCCGAGACAAUGCGGUCCCCCGGGACCCGCGGUGGGUUGCGCCAGGCCAGUCCGCGCUCCAGCUGCCUCUUCAGAACAAGGCAGUGCAAAUGUGCCCACUUGAUUCUAAAUCCUCUUAGGCGCUGUCCAUGUGAACAAGGAAAGGGGUGGCCCUACGAUCCUUUACAAUCGGAGGCCUGGGGAGGCCUGGGAGCCCUGGAGCUCCGGAAAAUGUCUGCACCACGCAUGCAAAUGGGUCAUUUCGCUUGGAGAGAGGCAUCUGGCGACAUCGGCAGAAAGGCUCUCUGCCCGGUAGACGGUGAACAAAACCCACAAAACCAGCCAGCCAACAGCGUGCACUAAACACCCCUCUCUGGCCCUUCAAUGCCACCCGGAGUCCUGAAACAUUUUCAGGUUGUUUCCCCUGGAGAGACGUCCCAUGAAAUGUUCAGAAAAGCCAGCUGAGCUGUGCAAAGUCAUUAGUCACCCAGGUCAUUUAUGCCACACUCAGUUAUGAAGCCUAGGAAAGAAGAAAAAAGACCUACUAUGUGCUAGUUCAUGUGCUUGCAAUGUAUCCUCACAGAGACCCUCUGAGUGGGUUCUAUGGUUUUUCCCCUUUUAUAGGCUCAAAGGUUAAUUCAUCCAUUCAAGGCCACACAGCUAAUAGCGUAUCCUGUGGCAUACAGUUUUUAUUCAAGGCUGGCUUGUAUAUAUCAUAUUUAUACAGCGACAAGAACUUUUGAAAUACAAGUUAAGAACUUUAAGGAGAAAAAAACGUUCUUAUUGGAAGCAAAUGAAACAGAAAUUCCAAGUUAAAGCCAAAAGUCAUCCUGAACAUGCUUUUAUUCCAAUGGUAUUACUUAACAGCAAAGUGUUAUAUUACCCUUGAAUUUCCUGCCUAAGCUAAGGGUAGGCCAGGCCCUUGAUGCUGCUUAAAUUGUUCCAUGUAUCCCAACUAUAUCACAAGCAAUGCCAUCACACUUGACUUGUGCCUGAUCUCCAACUUGUCAGUUAGUCAAGAAGGAGGAAAGAAUCUGUUUCCCGUGCACACACUGUAAUUUUUUUUUCCAGUGUUGCUAAGCCUGCCAGAACAAAAGUAAAACCACAAAACAAGAUUUAGAUCAGUGUCUUGAUCACCCUGUUGCUAUUUUACAGUUUUAGGAGGGUUGGACAUCAAACACUUGAAACUGUCAUCUACAUAUUCCUUCUCAGAAUAAGGAAGCACUGGCAUGUACCCCUGCUAAAUUAUUCUCUACCCCCAAAUGUUGGAAACUUUCUCUCCAGGAAAAUGCUCUACAGAAGGCACGUUGAAUUAAUGGAGUUAGUUCUGAGAAAGGUUCUUACUGUCUAAGAUGAACUGUCAUAUGCUGACUUCCGGCCAGGUGGACUCGACGCCUUAGCAGGAAUGUUGCUUAGACAUUUAGCUUUUUCUAAUUUGUUUGCUAUUAUAAACAGUGCUUGAGAAACCUAAAGUACACCCCCACCUAAAAUUACUAUCACGUCGAUUUGUUUAUCUUCUUUAUAAUUGCUUAUCCCAACUGAAUGUUUCAUAGCUUGCAUGCUUGUUUAUGUUCUACUUUCUUUCUCGGGAUCAUGACUUGGGCAUGACACAAGUUACCUCUUCUAUCUUGUUUAUUACCACGUAGUAAGGACUCAGGAAAUAUUUUUGAAUGAAUGAGUAUAUCUUUCAUGCACAUGUAUUUUACUGUUGUACAAUUAUCUUCUUAAGAUAAAUCUUUUGAGUAGUCAAAUUCAUAGACACAGAAAGUAGGAUGGUGGUUGACAGGGGCUAGGGUGGUGGGGGGAGUGAGAAAUUAGUGUUUGAUUAUUUACUUUUAUUUUAUUACUAUUAUUACUUUUGAGAGAGGGUCUCACUGUUGUCCAAGC
rnacentral:lncRNA from 1 species